UACAGAGACUGCAAGCGUUAUUCGGAUUCACUGGGCGUAAAGGGUGCGCAGGCGGCCGUGUGUGUCAGGUGUGAAAUCCCGGAGCUUAACUCCGGAACUGCGCCUGAAACUACAUGGCUAGAGUAUUGGAGAGGGUAACGGAAUUCACGGUGUAGCAGUGAAAUGCGUAGAUAUCGUGAGGAACACCAGAGGCGAAGGCGGUUACCUGGACAAUUACUGACGCUCAGGCACGAAAGCAUGGGGAGCAAAAGGG
rnacentral:rRNA from 1 species